UAUGAAGAACGUAGCGAAAUGCGAUAAGUAAUGUGAAUUGCAGAAUUCAGUGAAUCAUCGAAUCUUUGAACGCACAUUGCGCCCUUUGGCAUUCCGAAGGGCACACCUGUCCGAGCGCCGUCGCACAACUGAGGCGCAGCCUUGCGUUGGCGGGCGACUUGUGAGUAGCGAGUCGCCGCCCAAACGAGACGGCGCCGCGCCGCGGCCGACGAAGCACGAAAGCGGAAGUCGACGCGGAGGCGGUUGCCUGUAGGAAGACACAGCUUGGCCUCGGAUCAGGUGGGGAUACCCGCUGAACUUAAGCAUAUCAAUAAGCGGAGGA
rnacentral:misc_RNA from 1 species